rnacentral:misc_RNA from 1 species
CCUGUUCGGGCGUCAUUAUAACCACUCAGGCCUCGGCUUGGUCUUGGGGCUCGCGGUUUCGCGGCCCUUAAAUUCAGUGGCGGUGCGUCUGGCUCUAAGCGUAGUAAUUCUCUCGCUAUAGGGUCCAGGUGACCACCUGCCAUAACCCCCCAUUCUUUACGGUUGACCUCGGAUCAGGUAGGGAUACCCGCUGAACUUAA